rnacentral:rRNA from 1 species
GGAUUGAACGCUAGCGGGAUGCUUUACACAUGCAAGUCGAACGGCAGCGCGGACUUCGGUCUGGCGGCGAGUGGCGAACGGGUGAGUAAUAUAUCGGAACGUGCCCAGUAGCGGGGGAUAACUACGCGAAAGCGUGGCUAAUACCGCAUACGCCCUACGGGGGAAAGGGGGGGAUCGCAAGACCUCUCACUAUUGGAGCGGCCGAUAUCAGAUUAGCUAGUUGGUGAGGUAAAGGCUCACCAAGGCGACGAUCUGUAGCUGGUUUGAGAGGACGACCAGCCACACUGGGACUGAGACACGGCCCAGACUCCGUACGGGAGGCAGCAGUGGGGAAUUUGGACAGUGGGGGAAACCCUGAUCCAGCCAUCCCGCGUGUGCGAUGAAGUCCUUGGUUAGUAAGCUACUUUGGCGAGGUAACGAACGGCGUACGACCCUAAGUACGG